GGUUCGUUGCCACCCCCUGUGACGUUCCCAAUCUGUUGCCUCGGCGGGAUUCUCUUGCCCCGGGCGCGUCGCCGCCCCGGAUCCCCUGGCGCCCGCCGGAGGACCGACUCCGAACUCUUUUUUCUCUCCGUCGCGGCUCCCGUCGCGGCUCUGUUUUAUUUUUGCUCUGAGCCUUUCUCGGCGACCCUAGCGGGCGUCUCGAAAAUGAAUCAAAACUUUCAACAACGGAUCUCUUGGUUCUGGCAUCGAUGAAGAACGCAGCGAAAUGCGAUAAGUAAUGUGAAUUGCAGAAUUCAGUGAAUCAUCGAAUCUUUGAACGCACAUUGCGCCCGCCAGUAUUCUGGCGGGCAUGCCUGUCCGAGCGUCAUUUCAACCCUCGAACCCCUCCGGGGGGUCGGCGUUGGGGAUCGGCCCCUCACCGGGCCGCCCCCGAAAUACAGUGGCGGUCUCGCCGCAGCCUCUCCUGCGCAGUAGUUUGCACACUCGCACCGGGAGCGCGGCGCGGCCACAGCCGUAAAACACCCCAAACUUCUGAAAUGUUGACCUCGGAUCAGGUAGGAAUACCCGCUGAACUUAAGCAUAUCAAUAAGCGGAGGAA
rnacentral:rRNA from 1 species